rnacentral:rRNA from 1 species
CAGCCGCCACGGUAAUACGUAGGUGGCAAGCGUUGUUCGGAAUUAUUGGGCGUAAAGGGCUCGCAGGCGGUUUCUUAAGUCUGAUGUGAAAGCCCCCGGCUCAACCGGGGAGGGUCAUUGGAAACUGGGAAACUUGAGUGCAGAAGAGGAGAGUGGAAUUCCACGUGUAGCGGUGAAAUGCGUAGAGAUGUGGAGGAACACCAGUGGCGAAGGCGACUCUCUGGUCUGUAACUGACGCUGAGGAGCGAAAGCGUGGGGAGCGAACAGGAUUAGAUACCCGAGUAGUCCCUGUCUCUUAUAC